UACGGGGUAUUGCAAUAGUAUUCACACCAGACAUUGCACGUGUAUACACGAUACACGAGUAUUUAGACGAAAAACAGGUCUUCUAGUACAUACAAGUAUAUCUCUUUGCCUGACAAUUUGUUGUAGAACUACAACAAGGGCAAACACGUGCGUUUUACAGGAAACCACACCUUCUUGGCAGAAAUUGGUAUUGAAUAAUAUUAGUGGUAAAAUAGAAACCAUAGGAAAGAAUAGAAAAGUGAAAGAAUGCUUUGUCGGCACUUUGAUAUAAUUGCUAUUCAACACUUA